rnacentral:rRNA from 1 species
UAAUGUCUGGGAAACUGCCUGAUGGAGGGGGAUAACUACUGGAAACGGUAGCUAAUACCGCAUAACGUCGCAAGACCAAAGAGGGGGACCUUCGGGCCUCUUGCCAUCAGAUGUGCCCAGAUGGGAUUAGCUAGUAGGUGGGGUAAUGGCUCACCUAGGCGACGAUCCCUAGCUGGUCUGAGAGGAUGACCAGCCACACUGGAACUGAGACACGGUCCAGACUCCUACGGGAGGCAGCAGUGGGGAAUAUUGCACAAUGGGCGCAAGCCUGAUGCAGCCAUGCCGCGUGUGUGAAGAAGGCCUUCGGGUUGUAAAGCACUUUCAGCGAGGAGGAAGGUGGUGAGCUUAAUACGCUCAUCAAUUGACGUUACUCGCAGAAGAAGCACCGGCUAACUCCGUGCCAGCAGCCGCGGUAAUACGGAGGGUGCAAGCGUUAAUCGGAAUUACUGGGCGUAAAGCGCACGCAGGCGGUUUGUUAAGUCAGAUGUGAAAUCCCCGGGCUCAACCUGGGAACUGCAUUUGAAACUGGCAAGCUAGAGUCUC